rnacentral:rRNA from 1 species
UGGGGAAUUUUGGACAAUGGGCGAAAGCCUGAUCCAGCAAUGCCGCGUAUGGGAAGAAGGCCUUCGGGUUGUAAACCACUUUUGUACGGAACGAAACGGUCUGCCUUAAUACGGUGGGCUAAUGACGGUACCGUAAGAAUAAGCACCGGCUAACUACGUGCCAGCAGCCGCGGUAAUACGUAGGGUGCGAGCGUUAAUCGGAAUUACUGGGCGUAAAGCGUGCGCAGGCGGUUAUAUAAGACAGUUGUGAAAUCCCCGGGCUCAACCUGGGAAUUGCAUCUGUGACUGUAUAGCUAGAGUACGGUAGAGGGGGAUGGAAUUCCGCGUGUAGCAGUGAAAUGCGUAGAUAUGCGGAGGAACACCGAUGGCGAAGGCAAUCCCCUGGACCUGUACUGACGCUCAUGCACGAAAGCGUGGGGAGCAAACA